rnacentral:rRNA from 1 species
AUUGAACGCUGGCGGCAUGCCUAACACAUGCAAGUCGAACGGCAGCACAGUGCGUAGCAAUACGCAUGGGUGGCGAGUGGCGGACGGGUGAGUAAUACAUAGGAAUCUACCCCAGAGUGGGGGACAACCCGGGGAAACCCGGGCUGAUACCGCAUAGUAUCUGAGGAUGAAAGGCGGGUAGCGAUACCGGUCGCUGUGGGAUGAGCCUAUGUUGGAUUAGCUAGUUGGUAGGGUAAAGGCCUACCAAGGCGACGAUCCAUAGCUGGUUUGAGAGAAUGAUCAGCCACACUGGGACUGAGACACGGCCCAGACUCCUACGGGAGGCAGCAGUGGGGAAUAUUGGACAAUGGGGGCAACCCUGAUCCAGCAAUGCCGCGUGUGUGAAGAAGGCCUGCGGGUUGUAAAGCACUUUCGUCGGGGAGGAAAGGGUGAUUUUUAAUAGAGAUUACCUGCGACGGUACCUGCAGAAGAAGCACCGGCUAACUCUGUGCCAGCCGCCGCGGUAAAAC